UACGAGGGGGGCAAGCGUUGUUCGGAAUUAUUGGGCGUAAAGGGCGCGUAGGCGGUGCGGUAAGUCACCUGUGAAACCUCUAGGCUUAACCUAGAGCCUGCAGGCGAAACUGCCGUGCUUGAGGGUGGGAGAGGUGCGUGGAAUUCCCGGUGUAGCGGUGAAAUGCGUAGAUAUCUGGAGGAACACCGGUGGCGAAGGCGGCAUCCUGGACCGGUAUUGACGCUGAGGCGCGAAAGCUAGGGGAGCAAACGGG
rnacentral:rRNA from 1 species